GAUAGAAUAAUGUAGAUGAAGGAAGUCGCCAAAUUGGGUCCGUAACUUCGGGAAAAGGGAACGUUUUCAGAUGUGUGCUCUGUCUUCGGGCUCAGUAUCCUGACCGACAAUCAAAACGGUUGAAAUGGAACUGGUACGGACUCGGGGAAUCCGACUGUCUAAUUAAAACAGAGGAGACAGAUGGUCCUUGCAGACGUUUACUGCCUCUGAUUUCUGCCCAGUGCUCUAAAUGUUAAAUCGUAGUAAUUCGAGUAAGCGCGGAUGAACGGCGGGAGUAACUAUGACUCUCUUAAGGUAGCCAAAUGCCUCGUCAGCUAACUACUGACGCGCGUGAUUGGAUUAACGAGAUUCCCACUGGGUCUAACUACUAUCUAGCGAAACAACAGCCAAGUGAACGGGCUUGGCAAAGAUAGCGGGAAAGAAGACCCUGUUGAGCUCGACUCUAGUUUGACAUUGUGAAGAGAGGUGUAGCAUAGGUGGGAGACUUCGGUCGCCAAUGAAAUACCACCACUCUCAUCGAUUCUUUACUUAUUCGGUGAGAGGAAAAUUGAGCUUCUGCUCCUUUUUCUUCGUCUUAAGCAAAGCCACCUGGUGGCCUCGCGACUCUCGCAGACAGUGACAGGCGGGAAGUUUGGCUGGGGCGGUACAUCUGUCAAAUCGUAACCUAGGUGUCCUAAGGCUAGCUCAGAGAGGACGGAAACCUCUCGCAGAGCAAAAAAGGCAAAAAAGCAAAAGCUCGCUUGAAACCAAGCAUAACAGAAACAAAUGACAACGUAUUCCUGAUCCGGUAGAUUUUUUCGUAUUGCCGAAUAGGCUUCAUAGUUUCUAUGGAGGUCAUGUCAUUGUGUCAAUUCAUCUUUUUUGGCAAUAUCAUAGU
rnacentral:ncRNA from 1 species